UGCGGGGAUGAGUAAGCAAUAUUUCUGACACCUCUUGUACGAGAGCAUUGCUCGUUGAACGGAGACGCUUCAUUCUGAGCA
rnacentral:snoRNA from 1 species